rnacentral:rRNA from 2 species
GUCACACCCGUUCCCAUUCCGAACACGGCAGUUAAGCUCUUCAGCGCCGAUGGUAGUUGGGGGUUUCCCCCUGUGAGAGUAGGACGUCGCCAAGC